GGCGUGCCUAAUACAUGCAAGUCGAGCGAAUCGAUGGGAGCUUGCUCCCUGAUAUUACGGCGGAGGGUGAUAACACGUGGGCAACCUGCCCUAUAAGCACUGGGAUAACUUCGGGAAACCGGAGCUAAUACCGGAUACGUUCUUUUCUCGCAUGAGAGAAGAUGGAAAGACGGUUUACGCUGAUCGCUUAUAGAUGGGCCCGCGGCGCAUUAGCUAGUUGGUGAGGUAAUGGCUCACCAAGGCGACGAUGCGUAGCCGACCUGAGAGGGUGAUCGGCCACACUGGGACUGAGACACGGCCCAGACUCCUACGGGAGGCAGCAGUAGGGAAUCUUCCGCAAUGGACGAAAGUCUGACGGAGCAACGCCGCGUGAACGAAGAAGGCCUUCGGGUCGUAAAGUUCUGUUGUUAGGGAAGAACAAGUACCAGAGUAACUGCUGGUACCUUGACGGUACCUAACCAGAAAGCCACGGCUAA
rnacentral:rRNA from 1 species